AUGCCUCCCGAUCUACCACACUGGAGUGGCCGCCUCCUGGUUGAGGCUGAGGUGAUCACCAUGAGGAUGAGGAGGUCAGUGGCUGAUAUAGAGAGCUCCUCGAACGAGGAAGUAGCAGUUCUGGAGCAACUCGAAGAUGUCAUUUUUCAGUUUUGA
rnacentral:rRNA from 1 species